UACGUAGGGGGCAAGCGUUGUCCGGAUUUACUGGGCGUAAAGAGCGUGUAAGCGGCCAAACAGGUCCGUUGUGAAAACUGGAGGCUCAACCUCCAGACGUCGACGGAAACCGUGUGGCUAGAGUCCGGAAGAGGAGAAUGGAAUUCCUGGUGUAGCGGUGAAAUGCGCAGAUAUCAGGAAGAACACCCGUGGCUAAGGCGGUUCUCUAGUACGGUACUGACGCUGAGACGCGAAAGCGUGGGGAGCGAACAGG
rnacentral:rRNA from 1 species